CAAUAGCUUGGAGGAAGUAACUUCAAACACAUAUCUUAGAAUCAAUAUUCAUUGCAAGCUUAACUAGAACUAUAACAUUGAGAAAAGGAUAAAUGGAUUGUGGAAAGCUUAC
rnacentral:pre_miRNA from 1 species